rnacentral:rRNA from 1 species
GAUGAACGCUGGCGGCGUGCUUAACACAUGCCAGUCGAACGAGAAAUGGAGACGGAAACCUUCGGGCGGAAGGCUUCAUUUCGAGUGGCGGACGGGUGAGUAACGCGUGGGUAACCUGCCUCAUACAGGGGGAUAACAGUUGGAAACGACUGUUAAUACCGCAUAAGACCACAGCACCGCAUGGUGCGGGGGUAAAAACUCCGGUGGUAUGAGAUGGACCCGCGUUCGAUUAGCCAGUUGGCGGGGUAACGGCCCACCAAAGCGACGAUCGAUAGCCGAUCUGAGAGGAUGACCGGCCACAUUGGGACUGAGACACGGCCCAAACUCCUACGGGAGGCAGCAGUGGGGAAUAUUGCACAAUGGGGGAAACCCUGAUGCAGCGACGCCGCGUGAGUGAAGAAGUACUUCGGUAUGUAAAGCUCUAUCAGCAGGGAAGAAAAUGACGGUACCUGAGUAAGAAGCCCCGGCUAACUACGUG